GUUCCUACGGGGCGCAGCAGUGAGGAAUAUUGGUCAAUGGGCGAGAGCCUGAACCAGCCAAGUCGCGUGAAGGAUGACGGCCCUAUGGGUUGUAAACUUCUUUUGUCAGGGAGCAAUUGGGUCCACGUGUGGGCUUAGCGAGAGUACCUGAAGAAAAAGCAUCGGCUAACUCCGUGCCAGCAGCCGCGGUAAUACGGAGGAUGCGAGCGUUAUCCGGUUUUAUUGGGUUUAAAGGGUGCGGAGGCGGAAUAUCAAGUCAGCGGUAAAAAUUCGGGGCUCAACCCCGCCGUGCCGUUGAAACUGAU
rnacentral:rRNA from 1 species